rnacentral:tRNA from 1 species
CGGCGAGCUGGGCUGGAGUCACGUCGGCGGCCUGGAGCGCCGCGGGCCGCGUCGCUACGGCCGCGACCCGGUGUUCGGCCCCGGCCCGCUGGCCA